AGUGAACGCUGGCGGUAGGCCUAACACAUGCAAGUCGAACGGCAGCACAGUAAGAGCUUGCUCUUACGGGUGGCGAGUGGCGGACGGGUGAGGAAUACAUCGGAAUCUACUUUUUCGUGGGGGAUAACGUAGGGAAACUUACGCUAAUACCGCAUACGACCUACGGGUGAAAGCAGGGGAUCUUCGGACCUUGCGCGAUUGAAUGAGCCGAUGUCGGAUUAGCUAGUUGGCGGGGCAAAGGCCCACCAAGGCGACGAUCCGUAGCUGGUCUGAGAGGAUGAUCAGCCACACUGGAACUGAGACACGGUCCAGACUCCUACGGGAGGCAGCAGUGGGGAACAUUGGACAAUGGGCGCAAGCCUGAUCCAGCCAUACCGCGUGGGUGAAGAAGGCCUUCGGGUUGUAAAGCCCUUUUGUUGGGAAAGAAAAGCAGCAGGUUAAUACCCCGCUGUUCUGACGGUACCCAAAGAAUAAGCACCGGCUAACUUCGUG
rnacentral:rRNA from 1 species